rnacentral:rRNA from 1 species
CCCUUAGAUGUCCUGGGCCGCACGCGCGCUACACUGAUGCAUGCAACGAGUCGUUUCAAGCCUGGGCCGAGAGGCCCGGGUAAUCUGUUGAACGUGCAUCGUGAUAGGGAUAGAUCAUUGCAAUUAUUGAUCUUGAACGAGGAAUUCCUAGUAAACGCGAGUCAUCAGCUCGUAUUGAUUACGUCCCUGCCCUUUGUACACACCGCCCGUCGCUCCUACCGAUUGAAUGUGUUGGUGAGGAGCUCGGAUUGGCAGUAGUUGGUGGUUCGCCACCGGCUAUUGCUGAGAAGUCCUCCAAACCGCCCCAUUUAGAGGAAGGAGAAGUCGUAACA